CUAGCACUAGCCCCGCUACCAGCAUCUGACGACAGGACGUGCUGCUCGUCGCCGUUGCCCGUUGUCGUGCAGAAGAAGGAUCAAAAUCUGGCAUAGACACCAUCUGCCACUUCGGAAUCUGCUGUUGCGGAUGCAGCCGCUGCAAUAGUACAACUUUUUGGUGAUCUAGGCCAUUUUGACACUGACAGAUAGUCAGGAUAAUGGGUCAACGGUACCGGCACAGUUCGGGCAAUGCAUUACCAUAUUUGGAAGAGGAUGGGGUGGCAAAAAAACAGCAAGUAUAACUGUAGCUACGUGACUGAGCAAUUAAAUACCGACAGCCAAUCCGCACUCUGGAUUCAGGACCUAUAACCAACUAAGGUGCAUGUGUGCUGGAUAAAGCUCGAUACAAAUAUAAAGUACGCAUUACGUAUGGCAGUGGCAUGGCAAAGAUGUGUACAAGAAGGGAGAGUGCCGGAUAUUGGUGUAGUACCAUUCCCUAUCACAUAAGAGGUUAAGUGUUAACAAUUACUCAAUCCCAAUAUUCAUUAUUAGUUACUAUCAUCUUAUACUACUACCUUAUCGCUAAUCAUCUUAACAAAUGUUUGCCAGUAUAGUGCGCCGUUGCCAUAGUGAUAAAAGACGCUCAGGUCAUAGGAGGUCAAUCCUAAUAAGAUAACUACCGGAUU